UACGUAGGGUGCGAGCGUUGUCCGGAAUUACUGGGCGUAAAGCGCACGUAGGCGGCUUUGUAAGUAAGAGGUGAAAGCCUGGAGCUCAACUCCAGAAUUGCCUUUUAGACUGCAUCGCUUGAAUCAUGGAGAGGUGAGUGGAAUUCCGAGUGUAGAGGUGAAAUUCGUAGAUAUUCGGAAGAACACCAGUGGCGAAGGCGGCUCACUGGACAUGUAUUGACGCUGAGGUGCGAAAGCGUGGGGAGCAAACAGG
rnacentral:rRNA from 1 species